GAUCAUGGCUCAGGAUGAACGCUGGCGGCGUGCUUAACACAUGCAAGUCGAACGGGAAACCUUUUAUUGAAGCUUCGGCAGAUUUAGCUGGUUUCCAGUGGCGGACGGGUGAGUAACGCGUGGGUAACCUGCCUUGUACAGGGGGAUAACAGUCAGAAAUGACUGCUAAUACCGCAUAAGCGCACAGGACCGCAUGGUCCGGUGUGAAAAACUCCGGUGGUAUAAGAUGGACCCGCGUUGGAUUAGCUUG
rnacentral:rRNA from 1 species